AACGAUAUGAGAACUGGCAGGAGGAGUGUUCAGGCAGUCGGGCACAUUCACCAGAGGGGGUUUGGAAAGCAUUGAUCAGGAGCACGGCACGGAGGAGGGGGAGCACUGGCAGUCGCACUUUAAUUUGGCACUAGAAAAGGCAAGCACACAUGCAGGAGAGCAGGGAGAGUGAGGAAGCUGAUCUGGCGAUUGAGUUGGUCUGAACAAAGUGUUCGUACCUGUCCGGCGAAGAUACCGCAGAGGCCGAUGAUCACCAGGACGUUAAAGACAGCUGAUCCAACGAUGGUUCCCACGCCCACGUCUCCCUUUGUGAUGAACACCCCUAACAACACAGACCGGGAAGGAAUAUAUUGCAUCUUUGGUUCAUAACCACCAGAGCUGAGCACCAGCUGACGUCUUUUUUUAUCUUGUUCUACUGAUUGUGGAAUAUUGUCUUCAUAACACUUCAUGUCACAUCAAUACUUUUUAAAGUCAGCCUCCUUUCCUUUGCGGAAUAAAUUGGAUUAUUGCACAGGCGAUAUAUGAGAAAAUGUCCUUAAGCCGUGUGGAUUUAGAGGCAAAGUCACACUCAUACAUAUGUUUCAAUUCCAUUUUAAUAAACUGUGCAAUGUGUCAAGGAUAAAUCCCCAA